rnacentral:rRNA from 1 species
AUGCUUCCUUCACCUCGAGCGCCAUCACAACAAUUACAGGAGGUCUCGGCUAAUGGUGCAUCGUUGUCGCAGCGCCGCUCCAUCCAUCCAAUCCUUUAUAAUGACGCUAAUAACCAUGGCUAUAGACGGAAGCACGCCCACCAUAGGAACGAAGCACAACUACCAUCACAAAGAAGCAUGGCCAAUAUUGGUAGGAAGCACGACAACCAUGCACGGCCAGCAUUGGAAGGAUGCACGUCCGCCAUCAAACAGAAGCACGAUUACAAUCACAACGAAGCACGACAAACAUUGAAACAAAGCAGGGUGACCAUCGGCCCAGUGGUGUUUGAACUGUGCCUAGAUGCUGCGUUUUGUUUUAUGAAAGCAAUUUCUGAUUUAUUUUUUUUUGGAUGCGUAUUCUUGUUUCUUUGUAAGCAAUAG